ACACAAGCGGAGAAGACCCGCUGCCGUCGCAGGCGCGACAGUGUUGUAACCUAAACGAUGAUUAGCAUAUUUAUAUGCAAUAUUUCUCCCGGAAGAACACCCUAAACCUUUGUCACCGAGCAGAGGGACGAGAAGAACAAAAUGGAUGGUGCUUCAUUGAACGCGGGAAGUCGUGGACAGGAGACGAAGGCAAAAAGUGGCUUCAUGGAACAGAGGUGAGAAUUUCAUCCAUGGCGGCACGAUAAGUGCAGGCUCCAUCUAACACCAUGGUGAGAGAGGGCCUUGACUCUGUUGCCAUGGUGACCCUGUAGCAGUAGCUCAGUAACUAAGAUCUGUUGCCUUGGUUGCCACCAUAAAAAAAAAAAAAAACCCAGGCAACUGUUUCAAUCUGUUGCCAUAGCGAGGCCCUUCAAAGGAAAACGGCGAGACAGUAGCAGCCGCAACCUCAUCUCGCACGCCAAUUUGUCACCAUGGGAACCUCUAGGAUGUUUCGGAUUUUUAUCGUCCUGGGCUCUGCCUUCAUGAUUCUUCUGAUCAUCCUCUACUGGGACGACGUCGGAACGUCCCAUUCGUAUUUGCACACACCUAUUUCACCGGGUCCCAAAAUGGCACAUCCUGCUCCAGGGCAGCAUCAGCAAGAAAAACAGCAGAAGCAGCCACCUCCAACCCCCCGUAUGCUGUCUUUCCUGUCCGACAUCGAUGCCUUUGUCAACCAGUUCUUAGAACCUGGAACUGGUGAACCUACAGACCCUGUCCUGGCAGAAACAAGCAACCAAUCAGAGAAGGCGGAAGAACGAUACAUACCAAAGCAGGAGUGGAAAGUUCAUCAGAUGCCGGUGGCACCAGAGCUUCGACAGAGACAAGAGCACCGGAAGAGGUUACUUGAGGAGGUGUGCGCCAACGACAGCGUGCUGUUUCCUGGCCAAAAACGUACAUUUGAUGACAUUCCCAACAAGGAGCUGGAUCAUCUGAUAGUCGAUGACAGGCACGGUAUUAUCUACUGCUAUGUUCCUAAGGUGGCUUGCAGUAACUGGAAACGGAUCAUGAUCAUUCUCAGUGAGAGCCUGCUCCACGACGGCCUUCCCCCGAGAGAUCCCCUGUUCAUCUCCAACGACCAGGCCCACAACAGCAGCAUGCACUUCACGUUCAACAAGUUCUGGAAGCGAUACGGCAAGUUUUCCAGGCACCUUAUGAAGGUCAAGCUGAAGAAGUACACAAAGUUCCUUUUCGUGCGAGACCCCUUUGUGCGUCUCGUAUCCGCCUACCGGGAUAAAUUAGAGGUGGGCAACGAGGACUUCUAUCGUAAAUUUGCUCAGGUCAUCCUGCGACGCUACGCCAACCAGCCGACGCCGCCUUCCUCUGUGGACGAGGCGCGCGCCGCCGGUCUCCACCCGUCUUUCUCCCAAUUCAUCCAGUAUCUCCUGGACCCCCAGACAGAGAAGGAAAUGCCCUUUAACGAACACUGGCGUCAAGUGUACCGUCUUUGCCAUCCCUGCCAGAUCCAGUAUGACUUUGUGGGACAUUUGGAGAGCGUCGAGGAAGACGCUGCGCAUUUAUUACGACUGCUACGCGUGGAUAAUGUAGUGGAGUUCCCCACCUCGCACGGGAACACGACAUCCAGCAGUUCGGAAGCCCAUUGGUUCAACACGGUGCCCCGAGAGUCGCUGAGGGAACUUUAUAAACUCUAUGAACCUGACUUCAGGCUUUUUGGCUAUGACAGACCGGACUCGAUCCUCAAUGAGUGACGCACGAUACGAUUUUUUUUUUACACUCCCAGAUGUCACGUGUGAUUGGCUGCUUUGUAGCACGAGGCUGCCAGCUAGCCCAAUCAGACGACGUUUUUUUAUGUUGCUACAGUAGAGCUUUUACACUCUUAUUUAUUUCACAAUGUGCAUUAUUUUCCUUGAAAGCAUGAAAACGUAUUUUCCGAUUCCUUGCAUUGAUUCAUUCUAUCAACCCUCAGCAUGUACUAAUUUUUAAUGAAUAAUUUCAAUUUUGUGGAUGAAGCAUUUAGCAUUUCAAGCUAAAAAAAUAGCUAAAUUAACUAAAAUAGGCAUUCAGAAGACGCAUUCUAAAACGUAAUGACACCUCAAUGGUCACUAGGUGUCAAUAAUGUUACAGUAACGUUCAGUCAGACACACAAGCACCAGAAUUGACAAACUUUUUAUUGCACGUCUAAAACACAACCCUUGUGUCUGGAAAAAGCUAUGGCAAUCAUAAAAAAAAAAAAGUAAAUUAACCUUAAUAUAAAAUAGUAAUGCUAUAUAAUAACUCAAAAAUCCCAGCUACGCCCAAAAUGCUAGAAAAAUACACUUUAAAUAACAUAUUUUUUUAAAGGACAUUUAUUUUCUUCAUAAUAUUACAAUGUUGUUUUUAUUAAAUUUAUUUUUGUAUUUCCCCCCCAUAAUUAUGCUUUAAUUCUCAUAGUAUUUUGACAUUCUGGUAAAAUAAUAAAUCCUAUCCCAGCAGUCUCUCUUUUUUUUUUUUUACAAUCCAUUUACCUAAAUUCAGUGUCUGAAAAAGCUAUGGUAAUCAUAUGGUAAUCAUUAAAAGCACCAGAAUUGACAAACUUUUUUUGCACGUCAAAAACACAACCCUUGGUGUAACUUCCUGUCCACCCCCCCCCCCCCCCCUUGCCCGCUAAUCAGCUCUCCGAGCACUGGAACACAUUUAUAGUCUUAAUUGUGCCUGGUAUGGCUUCUUUUUUCUGAUCUAUAUUGGGUAAUAUCAGUGUAACAGUGACUAUAGGGGUGUUAUUUCAUGUCUAGAGGUCUCUCAUAUGGUUAAAGAAGAUUAUGAACAGGUUUUCAAUGCUUUUAACUACAAAAAUAUUCCCUUUAUCAUGGUCGGGUCUGGAACCAUUUAACUAUGAUAAACAAGGGAUUACCUUUGUAGUCGAAUAAUGUAGAAUAUUAGCAUAACAUUAGCAGCUUUGCUUUGACAAACACCAAGUCAACUACACUGUAGCAUCAAGUUUAAAAUGCAAAAAAAUGUCUUGUUGCUCGUCAGUGAUGAAAGCCUGGAAGUAUUUUCCAAAAGCGACAUUUUCUGUUCAUUACUAGGUCACUUUCGAAUAUUGGUUGUCCAAGCCCUGGAGGCUGCAACCAUGCCAAAAGUUGGAACUCCAGAGUUUAAGGUUUCGAUAGGCUUGAACCAUGGAUCUGACAUGAACAAAAAUAGUGCCUUCGGUUGCAAAAGUUUACAAGUUUAAAGUAUUUUUCUAGAGGAAAAUUACACAAUACAGUUACAGCUGUUCGAUGCCACAUGUUUAUUUGAUAUUCUAAGCCGAUUUUGAGAUGCAGGAAACUGCAUUUUUUGGACCUUGUGUAACUUCUGUAUGCAUCUUUAAAGUGACUUGUUUUGUGCAAUUAAUAAUUAGUGUGGUUUGUACUCUUGAUGAUGUCACACGCCUUUUAAUUUUUAAACAAUGUAAGCUAUUUUUAAUUGGAUAUUCUGUUAAUAUUCUGUUUAUUUUACAGUGCAUGUGUGAUUAUUGCAAGUUACAUUUUUUUUUUUCAAAAAUAAAACCCCAAAAUCUGUAAUACAGGUAAGUGUUUUCAGCUGGUUUUGCAGAUUUAUGUGCACAAUUAGUUAGUAGUCACUCCCCUCUGGUGGUUGAAAUGAGUAAGUGCAUUAAUAUGCUGUCAAUUACAUACUCAUUUACUUAUCCAAAUACGCCCUCUAGAGGGUGUAAGCGGUAUAAAACUAAUACACACCUGUUGAAACUUGCAUGCAAUAUUAAUUUAAAGUAUUUAUAAACUCAUUCAAUGUGACAAAAUUACUCUGUGCUUGCUUUGAUGAGGUAUCCAUUGAAAGUGAUGUAAACAUCCACAUCAUCGCUGUAAAUGGCAUUCUCCCUUUCCCUUUUAUACAGGCGGAUCCACACCUCAUCGCCGAGUCCCAAGUCCAGCAUCAGGCUCUGGCUCUGCAUGAUGGAGCGGUCGCUGGGCUGCGCGUACACAAUAGCCUGCUCGGCCUCGUUUCGCAUGAUGUGCAGCCUACUUCACCAGCCUCUGUUUAUUUGGGAAGGAA